GGGGUUGUAGCUCAGUGGUAGAGCACUUGCCUAGCACUCGUAAGGCAUUGGGUUCGAUCCCCAGCACCA
rfam:Ictidomys tridecemlineatus contig123872, whole genome shotgun sequence.